rnacentral:rRNA from 1 species
UACGUAGGGGGCAAGCGUUGCCCGGAAUCAUUGGGCGUAAAGAGCGUGUAGGCGGCUCGGUAAGUCCGCUCUGAAAGCCCGGGGCUCAACCCCGGGAGGCGGGCGGAUACUGUCGGGCUAGAGUCCGGAAGAGGCGAGUGGAAUUCCUGGUGUAGCGGUGAAAUGCGCAGAUAUCAGGAGGAACACCAAUGGCGAAGGCAGCUCGCUGGGACGGUACUGACGCUGAGACGCGAAAGCGUGGGAGGCAAACAGG